ensembl:lncRNA
AUAACCACACGACUCUUCCGAUCUGCCUUUCCGUGGUUCUGAAUAAACCUCCAUGAUGCCUUCUCUUCCAGAAGUCUGUCUCUUAUGGGAGGUGGAUAUUGAAAUGACACUUCUGGUCAUUUUUUUCCUUGAAUGAGGGGCUGAAUCCAAGCUUGAACACUCAAACUCAGGUUCCUUUGAGGGGCUGUGAUUGGAGUCUGGAAAAAGCUGGAGAACAGAGACUCGGUGUGGAAGACUCAAGUAUUCACAGCGUUCCACGGAGUGGAGUUAGAAGUCUGGUUUUGACAGCCUGAAUCACUCCAGUUUCUUUCCCCAAAGACCUGUUUUUUUCCUUUCAACCUGUGCGGCUUCCCUCCCACCCCACCCCACCCCACCCCACCCCACCCCCACCCCCAGGAAAUACACAGAAGUUUAUCAUCUAAGGAAACACACUUUGUUCCGAGGCACAGUAUUUCUGGAAAACCCCAGCAAUUGGGAGGGAUGGCUAGUUUCAGCUGAAAACAGUUCCUUAAACUUUCAGGUCCAGACAGUAUCUAGAAUUAGACAAUCAAGGUACUGCCUACAAGGAAAUCUUGCUUUGAUGAAUACAGGAGAUAAAAACAACCAAUCGGUUGCGUGAAUUGGAUUGAUUCUGAAAUAAGGUGGGACUAGAACCUCGCACACAGUAGGGCUCUUAAACCGCACUCCUUUCUUUUUGAUGUGCUUUAGGGGGCUUGGCAGUGGUUUGUUUUCUUAGGAAGAUUAAAUGUUCCAGAACAGUUCUGCCACUGCUGUGAAUUAACUAAGAGAAUAAUUUUUCAGUAAAGAGUUCAAAAGGUUAAAUUCUAGCCCAGCUUUCCCGAGAUGGCGGGUUCCUGUUAGUGACGUUCUCUUGUGCUGUCUUCUCUUCCAUUGAUCUCCUCUCCUUUCCUUCAAAUCACCUGUUUUUGUUUGAAAAGCAGCCCAGAUCUUUCAGUCCUUUAUUUAGAUGGGGUAGAAUGAAAACAAUCCAUGUCAGACAAUAGAUUGGGUGACCUGUUUAUAGAAUGUCCACCGGGUGAAGACUCUGGAGAGGAAACACAAAGGAGAGAAGGAACUCACAAUCAAUUGCUACCAUCCGAGAUGUUUGCAGUCCAGGGAAGGGGGAUAUGGCCCUGGAAGCGUAGCCCCGAUGAAGCUGUGGGUGACAUGCAGAGGAUGUGGGGCUUGACUUUGGAAAACCAGCCACCUGCCAGCUCUGUGACCCUGGAAAGAGGACGAGAGCUACCAAAGCAAACACAAAACAGAAACAAAUCUUUGGUGUCCCAAACCACAGUAAGAUAUCACUUCGUACUCAUUAGGAUGGCCAUUAAAUGCAUAUACACAUAAUGAAAAGAAGUGCUGACAUGGAUAUGGAGAAACUGGAACCCUUGUGUACUGCUCGUGGGACUGUAGAAUGAUGGAAGUGCUAUAGAAAGCAGUAUGGAAGUUCCUUAAAAAAUUAAAAAUAGAAUCACCAUAAGAUUCAGCCAUUUCAUCUCUGAGUAUAUAUCCCGAAGAACCGAAAGCAGGGCCUGCCACUCACAUACAGCCAUGUUUGCAGCAGCAUUACCGACAAGGGAUCUAUCCCUACAAAGGUAGGGAUAGAAUCGGACACGACUGAAGUGACUUAGCAGCAGCAGCAGGGAUAAUCCAAGUGUCGGUCAUCAACAGAAGAAUAGAUAAGCAAAGUGUGGUGGAUACAUACAAUGAAACAUUACUCGGCCUUUAAAAGGAAGAAAAUUCUGACAUAUGCUCUAGUGUGGAUAAACCUUGAGGACACUAUGCUGCAUGAAACAAGUUCUAUCACAGAAGGACAAAUACUGCCUAAUUCCACUUACACGUGGUACCUGGAGUAAUCAAGGUCAUAGAGGCCAAGUAGAAUGGUGGUUGUCAAGAGAGAGAGGGAGGAGAAAGAGGGAGUCAAAGUUUAGUGGCUACAGAGUUUCAGUCUGGGGAGAGGAAAAGAGUUCUGGAGACAGAUGAUGGUGAAGGUGGAACACAGUGGCGAUGUACAAUGGCUAAGACGAUGAAUUCCACAUGAUGAGCAUCUGAUCACACAUGUACACACGUCCGUGACUUCCAGCAAGGAGGGCGUGGCACUUCUUCACACACAGCUCCCUGUCCCGCGCCCCGCUUCUCUGGCUCGGUCCCAUCAGGGGGCACUGGACGCUGGGUGGAGGGGAGACUCCCCUCCCCUGGGCACCCCCGGAGGGGCCUUCCUGACUCAGGUACGCAGGCAGCUCCGGGCACUCAGGCUCAGAGGAAGUUCAUCCGAAAAUAAAAGCCAUCCUUCAGGAGUCUGUAUGGAUUGA